rnacentral:rRNA from 1 species
UACGUAGGGUGCGAGCGUUGUCCGGAAUUAUUGGGCGUAAAGAGCUUGUAGGUGGUUUGUCGCGUCUGCUGUGAAAAUCCGAGGCUCAACCUCGGACUUGCAGUGGGUACGGGCAGACUAGAGUGUGGUAGGGGGAGACUGGAAUUCCUGGUGUAGCGGUGGAAUGCGCAGAUAUCAGGAGGAACACCGAUGGCGAAGGCAGGU